rnacentral:rRNA from 1 species
UUUCGCAAUGCCCGAAAGGGUGACGAAGCGACGCCGCGUGCGGGAAGAAGGCCUUCGGGUUGUAAACCGCUGUCGGGAGUUAAGAAAUGUAAGGAUGUUAAUAGCAUCUUUGCUUGACUAAGGCUCCGGAGGAAGCCACGGCUAACUCUGUGCCAGCAGCCGCGGUAAUACAGAGGCGGCAAGCGUUGUUCGGAAUUAUUGGGCGUAAAGAGCACGUAGGCGGCUAUGUAAGUCGGUUGUGAAAGCCUUCCGCUCAACGGGAGAACAGCAUCCGAUACUGCAUGGCUUGAGUGCGGGAGGGGAGAGUGGAACUUCUGGUGGAGCGGUGAAAUGCGUAGAUAUCAGAAGGAACGCCGGCGGCGAAAGCGGCUCUCUGGCCCAUAACUGACGCUGAGUGUGCGAAAGCUAGGGGAGCAAACGGGAUUAGAUACCCCGGUAGUCCUAGCCGUAAACGAUGGGCACUAAGAGAGGGGUUUU